AAAUUCUCCUCGGAAGGUCGUGGAAAGCGUAUUUUCGUUGACCGCUACGAAGAACCACUGCGUGUGUUCCCAGGCUUACGCCCCUGCCAAGAUGAAGUAUUACUCGUCAGCGGUCGCCUUGCUUCUUGUGCUGGCUGUCUUCGUGAACAUUACCUCCGGACGUGCACCGGGUGACAAGACAAGAGAACAAGUAUAUGAAGACUUGAAACAGCGUCAUCCGUAUCUUCCAAUAGACCUUAAGUGGACUAAGGAAUAAAGACAUGGCAGUCCGGACCACGACAUGUGCAGCAAUAGGUGCAUGAGCGGGAGUUACCACGUGGGUUUUUGCGAGCUACCGUAUGCCACCUGCUUCGCCUGCUUGACGUAUUAGCCAAGUGUUGCACCCUCCUGUCCUUAUAAUGCGGUUCACUUGCAUUGGCUAAUAUUAGUGCUCUGCGCACAAAAACGAUGCAAAUAAAGUGGAAUUUUGUUUCA